AACCUGAACACACACUGUUCACUUGUGUCUGGAAGAUCUUCUCUGUUUGAAUACUCUCGAGUCAUUGGUUGGACUGAAAAAUCGUGAGAAUUUCGUUGUGGCUUUGCUUUUUAAACUGUUUGUUGAACCUGUUCUGUAUUUUGAUAUACAGCAACAAAAUGUCCUUUGUUGAAGGAAGGAUGACCAUCUACAGACCCAUCAGGGUGUUGUUUGACACACCCAUAUAUGAGCGAGCUCUGCAGAUCUGUUGGCACUUGCCCUCUUAUAAGUCUAUGAUUGCACUGAUGUCUCAGUUGUUGAGGCUUCAGCAGAAAAACCAGCUCCCUUCUGAGGUGACUGCUGAAAAGAUGAGUGAGCGGCUGGUUGAGCACGGCAAAG